ACACACACACAGUAUUCCGUCAUACAAUGACAAUAUUUCAACGAUACCCAAGAGUACACGACUUUAUGAAGGAAGGACUUCAAGCACUUGAGUUUGCCUUUCAACACAUGAACAUUAAAUAGAGGUGCCGUUUCCAUUGUUAUGUAAAGCAAACAUAUAAGUGAAGGCCUGUAGUAAUGAACACCAACACUCAAGCAGCUUAGAACUGCUGGAAUGAAAAAAAACUUUGUUUUGUUUGUUGUCGAGCAAUGUCCUCUUACUCCCGAGCUUCAUCGUGUUUGCCUUUAGUUUUCUGCUGCUAUAUGUCAUAGGCUAUUCUUGCACUGGACUUUUUGCAUCCACAUUGUUGCUCGUGUCAUAUUUGUCCCAUUGAUUAUUCCCAUGGAAAAUAUAGUUUGUCCUUCCCCUUAUUAUCAAUUUGGCACUAUGUUAAUUAAGAGAGAGAGAGAGAAAGAGAGGGAAUGAGAGAGAGGCUGUGGAUAAGAGAAAUUGGGAAGAUCAUGGCCGUUUUAAUAGAAGAGAGAGAGACCAUUACGUUGAUUUAAUUAUUAUCCAGGUGAGCACAGUAAGUCAAGGUCAUAAAAUUCUAACGUCAGAAUCGUCUCGUGGUAGAAGCGCACAGCUAGGGGUGGAUUUUAUGAUCUGCAAAUAUAAUGUGCUAUCUGGCUGCUGCAGUUAAGAUGCAUCGUUUAAAGGUGUGUGGAGGAGAGGAGGGACAGGCUACUCUACACAUAGGAGAGGGUCUGCUAUGCCUACUGGAUAGAACGAAUGCGCUCGGGGGGUUCCCUUUGCUAUGGAGGCAAGCUGCAGCCUUCUAUUGUGGAUACUGCAUCUCAGCAAGAAAGGAAACAGAUGGAUGAUUAUCAACAACAAUUACAACGACAAUAAGGACAGCAUGGAUAAAUGAGGACCACGACGACAGAGGGUGUGUGAGGAAAUGCAAGACAACAAUCGAGGACUGAGGCGGAAUGAAGGGGAGCAUGUAUGUAUCAGUUAAGAAGAAAGAAACACGUAUUGCUAUGCUGCCUGAAGAAUCGGAGCGGGUUCCUCGGCGCCAUUAAGUUCCUUUCAGACUAUUAGAGGAUAGCUGCAAGUGACUUCACGGUUUAUCCAUCUGGUUAUAUUCAAUACAGUCUUACAUCUUAUUCAAGUCAUUUAAGUUCUGUGUAAAGCUAUAUAUUUAUCAUACAAAAGAUCAUUCCUUCCCAACUUUUGAGGUCAUAUCCAUUUGAAGUGCACCCUGCUAUAUCUAUGGACCACCACCAAUCCCCCAUAUGUCAUCCACAGGGCUACUACAACACUAGCACCUGCUGGAUAUCGCACUGGAUACAGUAGAGGCCACGCGCCACAAUUCAAUGAGAUCCCACUCUUUCGUCCUACUGUCACCUCUUCUGCUUGUGUCAGCUGCACUCUGUUCCUGUCUGACCCGUUCUGAGGUACGCCUGACCAGGUGGAUACCCGCCAUGGUGAUUCAGUGUCCUGUCAUAACGAGGCUGGUGGUCUCCUAAGUAGAGGAAGAGAUGGAAAAAGAUACAGAGACGGAGGGAGAGACGGAGGCAGGCGAGAGCAAGAGUGUUCACCAGCACCCAGCUAGUGUUACUAGAGAAGGAGUUCCACUUCAGGCCCUACCUGUGUCCACCCCGCAGGCUGGAGAUGGCUGCAGACCUGAGGCUCACCGAUCGGCAGAUCAAAAGAUCUGAUUCCAGAACCGACGCAUGAAACACGAGAAGGACCAUAAGGAGGACAGUGUCAUAGAGACUGAGAUGCCAAACCAUCCUUCUCUAUCACCACACACGUUGUCCUCCCUCAGUCUAAGGUUCUCUAUUGGUGUUGGGUACUCAGUUCUUGUCUGGUGAGAGCGCCUAGAUCUCCAACCCUCCUCUUCAUAGAUUAAGAUCGUACCCCUGCUCUGGUUGGUUUUAACAGUAGAAAUGACAGUGAAUGUUUUUGUGUUUCCUCCAUGGAUCUUCCCCAUCUCACCACCAUACCUGCACCUGUCUCUUACUGUUAGAGACAGCAGUUGUUUGUCCACAGGUCUCUCAGAACCUUCCUUAUGGCACAAUGAUGCACACCUAUCUUAUGACAUCAGUGCACGCUUCAAACGUCACGGCUUCCCCCCUAGAACCUCCUACUCACCCUUGAGAGUAGGGCACAACCCUAACACCAACAGUGAGGGAAAAAAAGUAUUUGAUCCCCUGCUGAUUUUGUACGUUUUCCCACUGACAAAUAAAUGAUCUGUCUACAAUUUCAAUGGUAGGUUUAUUUGAACA